rnacentral:lncRNA from 1 species
ACACUGCAGGAGAGAGAGAGCUGGUACACUUGAAGUAAGCUCUGUAACAAAGCAGGGAGGAAUUGGAGGCAUCAGAAUCGAGCCGAAUGGAGAUGCAGAGACAAUGUGAAGAGAAUGAGGGGACCAUUGUGAAGCUCCAUGCUGAGAACCAGAGACUGUAGCAGCAGUGUGACUCAGUUUUACAAAAGGUAUCAGUAUUUGAGAACGUGUGUGCAGAGAAGCUCAGGGACAUGGAGGCUCAACUCAACUCAGCAAGGAGAGAGCACACAAAAGCAGGCAGUGGUUCAGGAACAGGGUUUGAUGAAUGAAUAUAAAAGACAAUCAGAAGAUCAGCAAUUCAGACAACCGAGGCCCUGAAACAAAAGCAUCAUCCUCAGUCAGAGAGCAGCAAUCCUUCAACACCUGAAAGUCUGCUGGGGGCACCUGCAGGUUCUUAGUGCUGCAGUAAUGGGCAAUUUAGAGGAAGAGGAUGAUGAGGAGGGUCAGGCCAGGCCUUCACUGUGACACAAACACCCUCUUGUGCUGACACACAUAAAGAAUAGUGCUGAACACACCAAUCAAUUCUCUCUCACACACACUCGCUGUCUGUCCAACCCCUCUCAUGGGGUUUGAUGUCUGUUUUAUAAUUUAAUAAAAUAGAUUUUUAUUGGAAAUUAUCCCAUAUCCUUGAGAGUUAUGAAAAUGAGAAGCUGCCAUUAGUCACAAAAUAAUCAUCUAGGAUGAGUGAUAUCACUGAAACCACCUGUCAUUUUAGAAAAU